CCAGAUUGGACAGAUGUGAUCCAUAAUGAACAGGAGGAAUUGAAGAAGUCACUGGGGCUCUGAAUAUCACAAAGAGAAGUGGCAGAUCAACAAGCUGAAACCUGAAUAUUUUUACUCAUGAGCAGAAGUGCUUUUACUUGAAAAUUGGACCUGAGCUGCCAGUGCUACAUACUUGGAAUUUGCAUUGAAAUCAGUGGUAUUGAUUCUUGAAUGUAAAUGGAAAUUCCAUGAAUAGAGGGACUUUUAUGAUCAGGCUCUUAAUGCUGAAUAUAAAAUAUGCUUCCAGGCUGAGAUUUUCUUGCUAUUUUUAAG